UGGAGAGUUUGAUCCUGGCUCAGGACGAACGCUGGCGGCGUGCCUAAUACAUGCAAGUCGAGCGGACCGAACGGRAGCUUGCUUCUGUUCGGUUAGCGGCGGACGGGUGAGUAACACGUGGGUAACCUGCCCGUAAGACCGGGAUAACUCCGGGAAACCGGGGCUAAUACCGGAUAACACCRAAGACCGCAUGGUCUUUGGUUGAAAGGUGGCUUUUGCUACCACUUACGGAUGGGCCCGCGGCGCAUUAGCUAGUUGGUGAGGUAACGGCUCACCAAGGCGACGAUGCGUAGCCGGCCUGAGAGGGUGACCGGCCACACUGGGACUGAGACACGGCCCAGACUCCUACGGGAGGCAGCAGUAGGGAAUCUUCCGCAAUGGACGAAAGUCUGACGGAGCGACGCCGCGUGAGCGAAGAAGGUCUUCGGAUCGUAAAGCUCUGUUGUUAGGGAAGAAGAAGUACCGUUCGAAUAGGGCGGUACGGUGACGGUACCUAACGAGAAAGCCCCGGCUAACUACGUGCCAGCAGCCGCGGUA
rnacentral:rRNA from 2 species